UACGUAGGGACCGAGCGUUGUCCGGAAUCAUUGGGCGUAAAGAGCGUGUAGGCGGCCACUUAAGUCCUGCGUGAAAUCUUGCGGCUCAACCGCAAGCGGUCGUGGGAAACUGGGUGGCUAGAGUGCGGGAGAGGAGAGUGGAAUUCCUGGUGUAGCGGUGAAAUGCGCAGAUAUCAGGAGGAACACCGAUGGCGAAGGCAGGUCUCUGGGCUGUAACUGACGCUGAGGAGCGAAAGCAUGGGGAGCGAACAGG
rnacentral:rRNA from 1 species